CUUUUGUGGUUGAGUGUAAAUGAAAACUCAUAAAUUGCGUGCAGUCCAUCACCUCCUAUCUUGCAUAUUUCACUAAGAUUGGAGUUAAAUAUCAGCACUACAUGU
rfam:Solanum lycopersicum cultivar Heinz 1706 chromosome 7, whole genome shotgun sequence.